CUCCAACCUCAACUCCAUCGUCAGUGUCCAAAUUGGCACUGGCAGAACGAGUGGAAGCUUCCCCAAUGGCCCCUUAAAGCAAAACACUGCCUACAGGAUCAGUUUCCGCGUCUACACGUACAUUCCAAACGCACGCUCCGUCAGCGCUGGAGGGGUAGCCAUCUACACGGACACACGUUUCUCUCUACCACUCAUGACAUUAUCCAGCUCGGGAAGCAUCAUUGGCCCUGUGGUGGGAGCUGUGGUGGGAGGUGUGUUGGGAGGUGUGCUGGGAGCGUUUGUGAUCAUUGUUGGAGGGGUCUUACUCUACAUACGCCGGAAGCAGCUAAAUUGUUUCAAGAAACCAGAUUCCACACAGCAAAUUGG